UGAGGAACAUGACCUUCGGCGGGGGAUAGCCGGCCCAACGGCCGGGUAAUACCGCGUACGACCACUUUGGGACAUCCCUCGGUGGUGAAAGCAGCAAUGCGCCGAUGGAGUGCCUCGCGGCCUAUCAGCUAGUUGGUGAGGUAACGGCCCACCAAGGCGACGACGGGUAGCCGGCCUGAGAGGGUGAUCGGCACAUUGGAACUGAGACACGGUCCAGACUCCUACGGGGAGCAG
rnacentral:rRNA from 1 species